AGUGGAAGAUGGACAACUUUCCAUAAAGCAGCAAAGGAAGGUAGAUAAAAUUUUCUGCCUGGGUAGAGAUUCUGUUGCAAAAAAGCAACUACAUAGCAAUUGUUGUGAAGACCAGACCCGUAGUGUGAAAUUAUGCUCAGAGCCACUAGAGGAUGUUUUGAUGACUGGUUUGUACCUGAAGUUCACUCAUAGGGACUGCACAUAAGAAAGGCUCAGUGUAUCAGCUCCCUUCUUCACAUUUCCAAGAGUCCAAAAGCUGCAAAGGCCAGUCUAGUUCAGAUUUCUCUUCUUACCUGGUAAGAUAUCAAGGGUCUUUCCUGGACUAAGAGGGUUAGGAAUACUUUGCUGAACAUGAUCUUUUCUGUUAUGGAAUUGUUAAUCUUCUGAG
rnacentral:lncRNA from 1 species